UUUAUUUUCUUAAUUUUCUAUUUUUCUAGAAUUUUCUCUUUUUUCCUUUAUUUUAAUUUGUUUAAAAUUACUUUUAUGCAUUUAAAAAUUUUGAAAAAAUUAUUUUAUGUUUGCUAUUUUAUUUAUAACCUUUUGUAAUUUUCUUGGCUAUUUAUUUGGUGUUUCGAAGGGUUUUAUAGAUUUUCUCUUUUCUUCCCCUUUUAAAGUUCAUUUAAAAAUG
rnacentral:lncRNA from 1 species